rnacentral:rRNA from 1 species
UACAGAGGGGGCAAGCGUUGUUCGGAAUUACUGGGCGUAAAGGGCGCGUAGGCGGCCCUCUAAGUCGAACGUGAAAUCCCCGGGCUCAACCCGGGAACUGCGUCCGAUACUGGAAGGCUUGAAUCCGGGAGAGGGAUGUGGAAUUCCAGGUGUAGCGGCGAAAUGCGUAGAUAUCUGGAGGAACACCGGUGGCGAAGGCGACAUCCUGGACCGGUAUUGACGCUGAGGCGCGAAAGCCAGGGGAGCAAACGGG